rnacentral:lncRNA from 1 species
CAGGGAUCGGUUAGCAUCCUAGCAUGCUUGUGGGAUUAUCUUGAUGGGAUUGAGGUGCGAAAACCCACCCUAAUAUGAGUGACUCCAUUCUCUGAGCUUGAGUCUUUGGUGGCAUAAUAACAAGGAAGAGAGCUAAGGAGCAGAACACAUCCCUCUGUCCCCUGACUGAAAGUGAAGUGACCAGCUGCCACCAAGACUUGCACAACAUAAUGGGCCGUGCCCCGAUACUGUGAGACAAAACCAACACUCCCCUAAAUUGCUUUUGUCUGAUAUUUCAUUGCAAAACAGGAAAAGAAACUAAGACGGGGCCUGUGGUUUUAUUUACUAAAUCUGUCUGUUCUGGGAGGUGCAGAUCACGGGUGCCAGCCCUUCUUCACCCACCUCAUCCCCAUCUUAAAGCACAGAGAAAGCUGGUCGAUGAGUCUGCUGACCAGCAGGGGGCGCCUGCCCAAUUCUGAUGGUUUCCUGCCUAUAGCUCAUGGAUGCAAUUUGGAGGUGGCCACUGGGUGGCACCAUUAUGUCACAUAUGCCUACUGAGAAUCCUGUUGACUGCUGGACAGGGGACAAGUCUGGAAUCCAAAGCCCUCAUCUGGACUGACUCUGCUAUGGGGACUCUGCAUGCUAACAGCCAUGCUGCUGCUGAUCCAUCCUGCCAGGUCCCAGCCUGGCAGAAGUCAUUUUGCAGCAAGGAGAGACUAAGACAGCAGUGGGAUCUCAAGGAUCUGAGCUGAGUCUGAUGUCCUCGCUGUACAGGUCCAGCAAACCACUUAAAACCCCAUCACGCUGACGGCCAUGCUCAGAAAUAGAAAAGUGAUUCUUUUAUGGCAUUUACUGCUCAGACUUAUCCACUCAGCCGAGUAAACAAGACCCCACAAGGAGCCGGUUUUGAUUCUCGGGGUGCCCUGUCACGUCUGAAUUAUGUCACACAGCAGGACUCUGGGCAGGUGAUAUGAGGGUUGUGUUCAUGACUGUGUAGCCCUGCUCCGGCCCUGGGGGAAGACCCGUCAGCAUCCUUUACUCCCGGAGGUGGAGGAUCUGCGGACAAUGCAGAGCAGCACUGGAAGGGACAGAGCUCUCUUGCCUGAUGUUGACUCUCCACCCAGAGUGCCA